AGAGUUUGAUCAUGGCUCAGAAUCAACGCUGGCGGCGUGCCUAACACAUGCAAGUCGAGCGAGAAAAGGGGGGCAACUCCCUGAGUACAGCGGCGCACGGGUGAGUAACACGUGGGUAAUCUGCCCUGAAGUGGGGAAUAACACCGGGAAACCGGUGCUAAUACCGCAUACGAUCACAGAGUCUGCGGAUUUUGUGAUGAAAGGAGCAAUUCGCUUUAGGAGGAGCCCGCGGCUGAUUAGCUUGUUGGUGAGGUAAUGGCUCACCAAGGCUACGAUCAGUAUCCGGUCUGAGAGGACGGUCGGACACACUGGAACUGAGACACGGUCCAGACUCCUACGGGAGGCAGCAGUGGGGAAUUUUUGGCAAUGGGGGCAACCCUGACCAAGCAACGCCGCGUGGGUGAUGAAGUCUCUUGGGACGUAAAACCCUUUCGACGGGGAAGAAACCGCAAGGUUGACGGUACCCGUAGAAGAAGCCCCGGCUAACUCCGUGCCAGCAGCCGCGGUAAUACGGGGGGGGCAAGCGUUGUUCGGAAUUACUGGGCGUAAAGGGUGCGUAGGCGGUGCUCUAAGUCGGAUGUGAAAACUCUGGGCUCAACCCAGAGCCUGCAUCCGAAACUGGAGUGCUAGAGUUCUGGAGGGGGUAGCGGAAUUCCUGGUGUAGCGGUGAAAUGCGUAGAUAUCAGGAGGAACACCGGUGGCGAAGGCGGCUACCUGGAAGAAACUGACGCAGAGGCACGAAAGCUAGGGGAGUAAACAGGAUUAGAUACCCUAGUAGUCC
rnacentral:rRNA from 1 species